rnacentral:rRNA from 1 species
GACGAACGCUGGCGGCGUGCUUAACACAUGCAAGUCGAACGGAAAGGCCCUGCUUUUGUGGGGUGCUCGAGUGGCGAACGGGUGAGUAACACGUGAGUAACCUGACCUUGACUUUGGGAUAACUUCAGGAAACUGGGGCUAAUACCGGAUAGGAGCUCCUGCUGCAUGGUGGGGGUCGGAAAGUUUCGGCGGUUGGGGAUGGACUCGCGGCUUAUCAGCUUGUUGGUGGGGUAGUGGCUUACCAAGGCAGUGACGGGUAGCCGGCCUGAGAGGGUGACCGGCCACAAUGGGACUGAGAUACGGCCCAGACGCCUACGGUAGGCAGCAGUGGGGAGUAUUGCACAAUGGGCGGAAGCCGGAUGCAGCAACGCCGCGGGCGGGAUGACGGCCUUCGGGUUGUAAACCGCUUUCGCCUGUGACGAAGCUUGAGUGACGGUAAUGAGUAAAGAAGCACCGGCUAACUACGUG